rnacentral:rRNA from 1 species
CACGUAGCUAACCUGCCAUGAAGUGGGGAAUAACAGCCCGAAAGGGUUGCUAAUACCGCAUAAGUUCCACCUCGUAGGAGGGGGAAGAAACCUUGGUUGUGAGAGACCUGGGGCUUUAUGAUGGGGCUGCGGCGGAUUAGCUAGAUGGUGAGGUAAAAGCUUACCAUGGCGACGAUCCGUAGCUGGUCUGAGAGGACGACCAGCCACACUGGGACUGAGAAACGGCCCAG